CCUACGGGAGGCAGCAGUGGGGAAUAUUGCGCAAUGGGCGAAAGCCUGACGCAGCAACGCCGCGUGAGUGAGGAAGGCCUUCGGGUUGUAAAACUCUGUCUUUGGGGACGAUAAUGACGGUACCCAAGGAGGAAGCCACGGCUAACUACGUGCCAGCAGCCGCGGUAAUA
rnacentral:rRNA from 1 species